rnacentral:rRNA from 1 species
AGCGAACGCUGGCGGCAGGCCUAACACAUGCAAGUCGAACGAACCCUUCGGGGUUAGUGGCGGACGGGUGAGUAACACGUGGGAACGUGCCUUUAGGUUCGGAAUAACUCAGGGAAACUUGUGCUAAUACCGAAUGUGCCCUUCGGGGGAAAGAUCUAUCGCCUUUAGAGCGGCCCGCGUCUGAUUAGCUAGUUGGUGAGGUAAUGGCUCACCAAGGCUACGAUCAGUAGCUGGUCUGGGAGGAUGACCAGCCACAUUGGGACUGGGACACGGCCCAAACUCCUACGGGGGGCAGCAGUGGGAAAUCUUGCGCAAUGGGCGAAAGCCUGACGCAGCCAUGCCGCGUGGAUGAUGAAGGUCUUAGGAUUGUAAAAUCCUUUCACCGGUGAAGAUAAUGACUGUAGCCGGAGAAGAAGCCCGGCUAACUUCGUGCCAGCCGCCGCCGUAACAC